CCGGCGCACGGGUGAGUAACACGUAUGGAACCUGCCCUAUGCAGGGGGAUAAGCGGAAGAAAUUCCGUCUAAUACCGCAUAACACCACUUGGAGACAUCUCCAGGGGGUCAAAGGAGGCGACUCCGGCAUAGGAUGGCCAUGCGUCGCAUUAGCUAGUCGGCGGGGUAACGGCCCACCGAGGCGACGAUGCGUAGGGGUUCUGAGAGGAAGGUCCCCCACACUGGUACUGAGACACGGACCAGACUCCUACGGGAGGCAGCAG
rnacentral:rRNA from 1 species